AGUUAAUGAACUUGUUAAAGUGUAUAUUUUGAAAAUAUAAUAAAGAGAUCUAAACUCUCUAUUAACUU
rnacentral:tRNA from 1 species